rnacentral:RNase_P_RNA from 1 species
CGGCGUUGGUCAAACGGUCGCGGUGUGGCCCGCAAGGGUGCGCAUCGAGGAAAGUCCGGGCUGCACAGGGCAAGGUGCCAGAUAACGUCUGGGGGGCGAGAGCCUACGGACAGUGCAACAGAGAGCAGACCGCCAGCGGCCCGUCGCAAGACGGGAGCGGGCAAGGGUGAAACGGUGCGGCAAGAGCGCACCGCGUCGGUGGCAACACGCGACGGCAUGGCAAACCCCACCUGCAGCAAGGCCGAAUAGGGGGAACAUGGCGCGGCCCGCGUCUUCCCCGGGUAGGCUGCUUGAGGCCAGCGGCGACGCUGGUCCCAGAGGAAUGACCGUUCACGACAGAACCCGGCUUAUCGACCGACCCGGGCG